UUGGUUCUCUUAUCUGUAAAAUUGACUUGGU
rnacentral:piRNA from 1 species